CUAUGAUCCUCUAAAGCAUUAAUUUUCGUCGCAACCCCGAAAUCUGCUAACUUGAUAGUGCCAUCUUUAGUAGUAAGUAUAUUGGCACCCUUAAUAUCACGAUGGAUAACACCCUGAUUAUGUAGAUAAAGUAGCCCUUGUAAUACUUGAAACGUAUAUAAGGCCACUAGGUUUUCUGGAAUCUUUCCAAAGUUUUUACAAAUUGAGCGCAACGAUCCGUUUUCGCAAUAUCUAUAUAUCGUUAACUUGAAAACAAUUUUUUAAAGAAAAUCACGUACUCCAGAAUAAUGCAUAGAGAAUCGUUCGUCUGAUAAGAUCCCCUAUAUUUAACAAUAUUUGGAUGCUACCACGUUUAGUAUUUGGCGACCAUUAUAAACGAAUGAGUAACAUACGUCCAAAUUUUUAAGCAAAUCAAUCUCCAUCUAAAAAUUGUUAGAGAAAAAUAGUUGAGAUCCCUUCAUACCUUAAUGACGGAAAGAUCAGAUUUUAGCAUUUUGGAUAGUUUAACUUUUUUUACAGCCACCGUUUCUCCAUUCUUUAUAUUUAGACCACGGUAUACUGCACCGAAGGCACCCUUGCCCAAGCAAUCCCCAAGAGUCUGAAUAUGUUAUUGAAAAUCCAAUGGCUAUUAACAUUAAAUACUAGCAUACGAUGGAAGAUGCUUGGAUAUUGUGCAUGACUAUUGAAUAAGUUACAAAUUAAAAAUUGAAUUUAUUUGUAAUUUUGAAUGAAAAGACAAUUUGGUUUUGUUUACGAUGUAGCAUUUGCUGCGUUUGAAGAAGUAAGGACUUUAUAGUGUACAUACACAUUUAGUACGGUACCUGAACUUGCAUGUUAUAAACUCAAAAGAAGUAAAUAGUAAUAAUUA